GAGCUUGAACUUAGUCUGUAAAUUGAAAGCAAGAGCUGGUAAAGCUUUAGCAUACUAGCUUAAUGAAUCAUCUCAACUAUCAAACGUGAAGGCCAAGAAUUUUUCUUGAUGAGCAAGGAGGGAGUUCUUAUAAAUGUAAAUUUCAUAGACUUUAUUCAAUUUCUUCUGAUCAUCUCAAAUUCUUAUAUCUCAUAACAAGCUCCAUCAAACCGUAUAAAGCUGUGCUAAGCAAAGCUAGUUUAGAAAGAGAAUUUGAAGAGUGUUGCUAUAGAAAAGGGAAUUGAAGCAAGCUUAACCAAUUAUUUAAGCAAGAACUCUGUAAUUAAGAGGUAAAAUUUUAUCUCUUGUUAUAUAUAUAAAAGCUAGGUAGGAGAAUUGAUAUAUAAUUAACUUCUGUGAUUGCUUGUGGUUGAUUUCUAUAUUAAAUCUGGCUAUCUAUGUUUAAACUCUUAUGAGUUUUUGAAUUCUAAACUAUAUCCACCACAUAUUUGACAGAAUGUUUCAAAAGAAUAAUUUUGUUAAAAAUUAGUCUAUGUAAUGAACAGGAUAGCUUAUAUAUAUAAGAAUUAUGUAAUUACUCAAUUCAAUAAGGGUAUUUGGUAUGCUUUCAAUAUGAUAGUAAAAGAUCAAACUUUGGAAAUUUGCAGAAAACAGAGCAAGUCUUGGUCUGCAGCCCAGGUCAAAACCAGCGCGGCCGCGCAGGCCCCAGAAAAGCCAAGGAUGUGUUUUACAUAAUUUGGGCUUCUGAGCAUGUGUAGUGUUUAAAAAUGUAUCCUAUGUGGUGUCCAGUAUGGCUAAGCAUGAAAAUGGAAUAUUUUAGCAUGCUUUAAUAUAAGAAUUCAAAUAAAAACUAAACGGUUUUGAAAAUUAAACUUGAAACAAAUAAAGUCAAAACCAAAACAGGUAUAAACCUUUCUAUCAUAUGUGAAUAUGGUGUGAUGGGAUCUUGGGAUAUUACCAUGAAGGCUAUGCAUUGAAACACUCAGUUCUGAGCCUUCUCUGGAGUGGCGCGGCCGCGCCACUCUCAAGCCUAAAUGCAGCGCGGGCGCGCCGUG
rnacentral:lncRNA from 1 species